CCACCGUGUACUCGAUCGCGCUGGUAUGAAACGACAACCAGUAGAAGAAAGCCAAUCCGCGUGUGCUGAAGAUUAUAUUCUAAAAAGUUUACUCGAUUUAUAAAUUAUAAAGAUUUAUUUGAAAUUGUAUUUAAAACACAGUUAUACGCUGCAAUUUGCAAGUCGCGUUAGAUGUAUUAACUCGUAAAGCAGCUGUGAUCAUUAUCGGUGAUAGAAAUUCACAUUUAACAAUCUGUAACUAAUUCGAGUCACGAUUAGGUCACUAGUGACGCUGCUGAAGAAUUGACACGAAGUCACAAAUAAGUUGCGAACGCAAAUAUAGGAGGAAUAGAAGAGGAAUAAAUACUAAACGU